AUUGAACGCUGGCGGCAUGCCUUACACAUGCAAGUCGAACGGUAACGGGUCCUUCGGGAUGCCGACGAGUGGCGAACGGGUGAGUAAUAUAUCGGAACGUGCCCAGUAGUGGGGGAUAACUGCUCGAAAGAGCAGCUAAUACCGCAUACGACCUGAGGGUGAAAGGGGGGGAUCGCAAGACCUCUCGCUAUUGGAGCGGCCGAUAUCAGAUUAGCUAGUUGGUGGGGUAAAGGCCUACCAAGGCAACGAUCUGUAGUUGGUCUGAGAGGACGACCAGCCACACUGGGACUGAGACACGGCCCAGACUCCUACGGGAGGCAGCAGUGGGGAAUUUUGGACAAUGGGCGCAAGCCUGAUCCAGCAAUGCCGCGUGCAGGAAGAAGGCCUUCGGGUUGUAAACUGCUUUUGUCAGGGAAGAAAUCUUCUGGGCUAAUACCCCGGGAGGAUGACGGUACCUGAAGAAUAAGCACCGGCUAACUACGUGCCAGCAGCCGCGGUAAUACGUAGGGUGCGAGCGUUAAUCGGAAUUACUGGGCGUAAAGCGUGCGCAGGCGGCUUUGCAAGACAGAUGUGAAAUCCCCGGGCUCAACCUGGGAACUGCAUUUGUGACUGCAAGGCUAGAGUACGGCAGGGGGGGAUGGAGUUCCGCGUGUAGCAGUGAAAUGCGUAGAUAUGCGGAGGAACACCAAUGGCGAAGGCAAUCCCCUGGGCCUGUACUGACGCUCAUGCACGAAAGCGUGGGGAGCAAACAGGAUUAGAUACCCUGGUAGUCCACGCCCUAAACGAUGUCAACUGGUUGUUGGACGGCUUGCUGUUCAGUAACGAAGCUAACGCGUGAAGUUGACCGCCUGGGGAGUACGGCCGCAAGGUUGAAACUCAUAGGAAUUGACGGGGACCCGCACAAGCGGUGGAUGAUGUGGUUUAAUUCGAUGCAACGCGAAAAACCUUACCUACCCUUGACAUGUCAAGAAUUCUGCAGAGAUGUGGAAGUGCUCGAAAGAGAACUUGAACACAGGUGCUGCAUGGCCGUCGUCAGCUCGUGUCGUGAGAUGUUGGGUUAAGUCCCGCAACGAGCGCAACCCUUGUCAUUAGUUGCUACGCAAGAGCACUCUAAUGAGACUGCCGGUGACAAACCGGAGGAAGGUGGGGAUGACGUCAGGUCCUCAUGGCCCUUAUGGGUAGGGCUACACACGUCAUACAAUGGCCGGUACAGAGGGCUGCCAACCCGCGAGGGGGAGCCAAUCCCAGAAAACCGGUCGUAGUCCGGAUCGUAGUCUGCAACUCGACUGCGUGAAGUCGAAAUCGCUAGUAAUCGCGGAUCAGCUUGCCGCGGUGAAUACGUUCCCGGGUCU
rnacentral:rRNA from 1 species